CAAGGAGGAGGAGUACGCC
rnacentral:misc_RNA from 1 species